CUCAAAUGAAUUGACGGGGCCCGCACAAGCGGUGGAGCACGUGGUUUAAUUCGAUGCAAACCGAAGAACCUUACCUGGGUUUGACAUGUACGUGGUACGGAUCUGAAAGGUAAAGGACUUACUCUUCGGAGUGAGAGCGUACACAGGUGCUGCAUGGCUGUCGUCAGCUCGUGUCGUGAGAUGUGGUUAAGUCCCGCAACGAGCGCAACCCCUGCAUUCAGUUGCCAUCGGUAAGGCCGGGCACUCUGGAUGGACUGCCGGCGACAAGCCGGAGGAAGGUGGGGACGACGUCAAGUCAUCAUGGCCCUUAUGUCCAGGGCGACACACGUGCUACAAUGGCCGGCACAACGGGAAGCGAAGGGGCGACCCUGAGCGGAUCCCACAAAAGCCGGUCUCAGUUCGGAUUGCAGUCUGCAACUCGACUGCAUGAAGUUGGAAUCGCUAGUAAUCGUGGAUCAGCCAAGCCGCGGUGAAUACGUUCCCGGGCCUU
rnacentral:rRNA from 1 species